rnacentral:rRNA from 1 species
AAAGCCCCGGCCUAACUACGUGCCAGCAGCCGCGGUAAUACGUAGGGGGCAAGCGUUGUUCCGGAAUUAUUUGGGCGUAAAGCGCGCGCAGGCGGUUCCUUUAAGUCUGAUGUGAAAGGCCCACAGCUCAACUGUGGAGGGCCAUUGGAAACUGGGGAACUUGAGGACAGAAGAGGAGAGCGGAAUUCCACGUGUAGCGGUGAAAUGCGUAGAUAUGUGGAGGAACACCAGUGGCGAAGGCGGCUCUCUGGUCUGUAACUGACGCUGAGGCGCGAAAGCAUGGGUAGCGAACAGGAUUAGAUACCCUGGUAGUCCAUGCCGUAAACGUUGAGUGCUAGGUGUUAGGGGGUCCAACCCUUAGUGCUGCAGUUAACGCAAUAAGCACUCCGCCUGGGGAGUACGGCCGCAAGGCUGAAACUCAAAGGAAUUGACGGGGGCCUGCACAAGCGGUGGAGCAUGUGGUUUAAUUCGACGCAACGCGAAGAACCUUACCAGGUCUUGACAUCUUCGGACAGCCCAAGAGAUUGGGUCUUCCCUUCGGGGACCGAAUGACAGGUGGUGCAUGGUUGUCGUCAGCUCGUGUCGUGAGAUGUUGGGUUAAGUCCCGUAACGAGCGCAACCCCUGAUCUUAGUUGCCAGCAUUGAGUUGGGCACUCUAGGAUGACUGCCGGUGACAAACCGGAGGAAGGCGGGGAUGACGUCAAAUCAUCAUGCCCCUUAUGACCUGGGCUACACACGUGCUACAAUGGAUGGUACAAAGGGAAGCCAAACCGCGAGGUCGAGCUAAUCCCAUAAAGCCAUUCUCAGUUCGGAUUGUAGGCUGCAACUCGCCUGCAUGAAGCCGGAAUCGCUAGUAAUCGCGGAUCAGAAUGCCGCGGUGAAUACGUUCCCAGGCCUUGUACACACCGCCCGUCACACCACGAGAGUUGGCAACACCCGAAGUCGGUAGGGUAACGCAUCACGCAGCACAGCCGCUCGUCAGGGUGUCGGCUUCCUCGCG